AAGCAGAUCUAAAUGUUAAAAACUGGACAACAUCAAACCUUUUGGUUUACAGUUAAAGUAGCAAUGGGUUUCAUAGGGACAUAUUUGCUGUACAUGAAAACGGAUAUAAUGACCAAUGUUGCACCAACGAAGAACUGUAGGGACAAGUGAAAGUCAAAAAAGUAAAUAGCUGCUAUACAAGAUAUGAUAAUUGCACCAGAUGUAGCAAAACCCUUGAGGAUAUUGUCUGCAUACUUGACCACCACAGCCACGACCAGACCCCCAAACGACUGCAGACAGAUGACGGUCCACACUACGUAGUCAUAGCCGAAAAAGAAGCCUUUCUCCGUGACUUUCGGCCCGUCGUUGAUUUCCAUGGUGAUUAAGCCGAUCACAGAUCCUAUGAUUCCCAGCUGAACGUUUCGCAGCCAGAUGCUCUGAUUGGUUCCUUUCAGGAUUUUCUCAAAGUAGACUCCAGCGAAUCCAGAGAGGCAGCACUGGACCAGGACAGCUACCAGUCCCAGCAGGGGGCGCUGCUCCACGGCGACCUUGCUUUGGGAGGAGUUGGAGGGUUGGACCUGGACCAGGGCCACCCCACAGAACAGGAUGAAGAGGGCCAGCCACUGGAGGCGACUCAGGGGCUUACCCAGCAUUAGCACCGAGAACAGGGCCGUCGUCAGGAUCUUCAACUGUUUAAUUCUGGCUGAUCUUGGUGUCUCGGGCCGAUACAGGGUGUAAUAUGAAAAAGGGUACUAUGCAGUAUUCCAAUCAACUGAUACCUGAAAAACUGCAGCAUCCAGAUUUGAGACAGCGACAAAGAGAAGGUUAUUUUGCACGGUGUAUAUGAUGGACGGAACCGAGAUCUUCAGGCAGUCCAUAGGCUGCUGUAUAAUGUUCUCGUUGAGAUGUGACAGAAACGCUCUAACACUCCCCUCCUUGUAGAAGAUGAUGAUGAAGCAGGCUAGGAACUUGAGGACUUCGGACAUGAUGACGGCGGUGGUGGACAUGAACAUGUCGCCGGGACGAGUGCGGACAUAACGCAUCAUCAGGAUAAAGACUGCGUUCUGUAGCAUCAAAGUUACCAGACUGAAGUACUUUAGAUGUGUAGCCGUUUCUGAAAGAGAACAAUACAAUCUGAGUACCAUUUGUAAAAAUGUCAUACUGUGGUAUUCUCAUCCUUCAUAUAACUCCAAUUCUUGUGGAUCUCAUAGAUGAGCAGACCAGGAUUGGAAAUGAAAUCUUUCUCAAAGUAUAAAACAUGAUAACAAUUAAUCUGAUUUAGUGAUUUCUCAUGAAUCAAUGUUUGCUCAAAAUCUAUGAAAAGUGGCAUCCUUGAAAAUUAAUGAAACAUGCAUGUAGAGUAUGUGACUUUUUUUUAAUAACUUUUACCUGACAGCAGGAAAAUGGAUGAUAAAAAAAUUUAUCAUUUUAAAAUGUUUAGGUCAACAAUACAAGAGCCAAUUUCCACAGUAUAUAAAAACAUGCAUUCUUGAACAUUUGGUCUGUUUGAUGGUUUUUUCAUUGAAGAAAGAAGUUAUAAAGAAAAAUAAAUCAACAUAGAGUGACAAAAUCUAUGAGGAGCAACUGAAGAUACUGUUUAUCCAGCUAAGGACAUAAGUCUUAAAUCAAUCCGUAACAGCCGUGCAAAUCUUUGAACAAAACCAACAGAUAUUACUUCAAUCUGUAACAGGAGAGAAAAAAAUCAGUGGCUGGACCAGAAUUCCUGUAUUCCUAUAUUGUAGUUUGGACCUCUAGCACUGAGCUAUUCAAGGCCAUCAUUAAUGGUCCAUACUGUCACAACUUUUUCAUUCAUCCCUUCUUAGUUAAA
rnacentral:sRNA from 1 species